GAUGAACGCUGGCGGCGUGCCUAAUACAUGCAAGUCGAGCGAACGGACGAGAAGCUUGCUUCUCUGAUGUUAGCGGCGGACGGGUGAGUAACACGUGGAUAACCUACCUAUAAGACUGGGAUAACUUCGGGAAACCGUAGCUAAUACCGGAUAAUAUUUUGAACCGCAUGGUUCAAAAGUGAAAGACGGUCUUGCUGUCACUUAUAGAUGGAUCCGCGCUGCAUUAGCUAGUUGGUAAGGUAACGGCUUACCAAGGCAACGAUGCAUAGCCGACCUGAGAGGGUAACCGGCAACACGGGAAGGGAGACCCGCCCAAGCCCCCUCAGGAGGACCCGAAUGGGAAUUUUUCGGCACGGGGCGAGAGCCAGACGGCGCAACGCCGCGUAGGUAAUGAGGGUUUUCGGUUUGAAAACCUUUUUUAUUAGGAAAGAACAUUUUUGAAGGAACCUGAGCAGUUUUUAACGGUCCUUAAGAAGAAGCCCGCGGAAAACUCCGGC
rnacentral:rRNA from 1 species